rnacentral:lncRNA from 1 species
UAAAAACUGCAUGGUAUUGGUACAGAGACAGACAGAUAGACCAAUGGAAUAGAAUUGAAGACCCAGAAAUGAACCCACACACCUAUGGUCACUUGAUUUUUGACAAAGGAGCCAAAACCAUCCAAUGGAAAAAAGCAUUUUCAGCAAAUGGUGCUGGUUCAACUGGAGGUCAGCAUGUAGAAGAAUGCAGAUCGAUCCAUGCUUAUCACCCUGUACAAAGCUUAAGUCCAAGUGGAUCAAGGACCUCCACAUCAAACCAGAUACACUCAAACUAAUAGAAGAAAAAGUGGAGAAGCAUCUCGAACACAUGGGCACUGGAGAAAAUUUCCUGAACAAAACACCAAGGCUUAUGCUCUAAGAUCAAGAAUCGACAAAUGGGAUCUCAUAAAACUGCAAAGCUUCUGUAAGGCAAAGGACACUGUGGUUAGGACAAAACGGCAACCAACAGAUUGGGAAAAGAUCUUUACCAAUCCUACAACUGAUAGAGGGCUUAUAUCCAAAAUAUACAAAGAACUCAAGAAGUUAGACCGCAGGGAGCCAAAUAACCCUAUUAAAAAAUGGGGUUCAGAGCUAAACAAAGAAUUCACAGCUGAGGAAUGCCAAAUGGCUGAGAAACACCUAAAGAAAUGUUCAACAUCUUUAGUCAUAAGGGAAAUGCAAAUCAAAACAACCCUGAGAUUUCACCUCACACCAGUGAGAAUGGCUAAGAUCAAAAACUCAGGUGACAGCAAAUGCUGGCGAGGAUGCGGAGAAAGAGGAACACUCCUCCAUUGUUGGUGGGGUUGCAGACUGGUACAACCAUUCUGGAAAUCAGUCUGGAGGUUCCUCAGAAAAUU